UACGUAGGGUGCAAGCGUUAAUCGGAAUUACUGGGCGUAAAGCGUGCGCAGGCGGUUGUGCAAGACCGAUGUGAAAUCCCCGGGCUUAACCUGGGAAUGGCAUUGGUGACUGCACGGCUAUAGUGUGUCAGAGGGGGGUAGAAUUCCACGUGUAGCAGUGAAAUGCGUAGAGAUGUGGAGGAAUACCGAUGGCGAAGGCAGCCCCCUGGGAUAACACUGACGCUCAUGCACGAAAGCGUGGGGAGCAAACAGG
rnacentral:rRNA from 1 species